rnacentral:lncRNA from 1 species
UUAUUCAUUUUUUUAAAAGAUUGGCACCUGAGCUAACAUCUGUUGCCAAUCUUUUUUUUUUUCUCCUUCUUCUCCCCAAACCCUCCUCCAGUUGUGUAUUCUUGGUUGUAGGUCCCUCUGGUUGUGGUAUGUGGGAUGCCGCCUCAACAUGGCCUGAUGAGCAGUGCCACGUCUGCGUGCCCAGGAUCCGAACCUGCGAAACCCUCGGCUGCUGAAGUGGAGCGCGUGAACUUAACCACUCAGCCACGGGGCUGGCUCCUAGGACAUCUCAUAUUGGACUAGCCCUAUUUCCAGCACUCAGUGGACACACAUAGCUGGACAGUGCAGUAUUGUGCUGGGUGUCAAGGAGAGAACAGGGAACAGGAUGGGCAAGGUGUCUGCCUUCACUGAGUUGACAGUCUGGUGUGGGAAACAUGUAAUAAAGAGCUAAAGCAAAGUAUGAAUCCACCUGAGUGGCGCUCAAGGUCCCAGGGAUUCUGUCCUUCUCCAGGCAGCACACAGGAGGGCAGCCUGCAGCAUCAAAGGGCACGAGCUUGGCUCAGAUCCAUGAUUUCAGUUUGGGGCAUAAAUAGGACAUUUAAUGGGAAAAAAACCCCAGACAUCUGAGAGCUUGCAUAGAGGCAUUCUAACAAACAAGAAAGCAUCUACCAGCUACCUGGCGUCUGUGUGUGAAGCAGACUGUAAUGAAG